rnacentral:rRNA from 1 species
UUCCGGUUGAUCCCGCCGGACCCGACUGCUAUUUGGGUGAGAAUAAGCCAUGCGAGUUGAAUGGGAUACCUAAAGUUCCCAUAGCAAACUGCUCAGUAACACAUGAUCAACUUACCCUAUAGAGAAAAAUAACCUCGGGAAACUGAGGAUAAUGUUUCAUAAUUGAAUUGGCUUGGAAAAGUUUUUCAAUGAAAAGGAUAAAAAAAAUGGUUUUUAUCUGCUAUAGGAUAGGAUCGUGUUCGAUUAUGGUUGUUGGUGAGAUAAUGGCUCACCAAGCCGAUAAUCGAUAGGGGCCGUGAGAGCGGGAGCCCCGAGAUGGGUACUGAGACAACGACCCAGGCCUUACGAGGCGCAGCAGGCGCGGAACCUCCGCAAUACACGAAAGUGUGACGGGGUUACCCAAAGUGUUCAAUAGAACUGUGGUAGGUGAGUAAUGUCCCCUACUAGAAAGGAGAGGGCAAGGCUGGUGCCAGCCGCCGCGGUAAAACCAGCUCUUCAAGUGGUCGGGAUAAUUAUUGGGCUUAAAGUGUCCGUAGCCGGUUUAGUAAGUUCCUGGUAAAAUCGGGUAGCUUAACUAUCUGCAUGCUAGGAAUACUGCUAUACUAGAGGGCGGGAGAGGUCUGAGGUACUACAGGGGUAGGGGUGAAAUCUUAUAAUCCUUGUAGGACCACCAGUGGCGAAGGCGUCAGACUGGAACGCGCCUGACGGUGAGGGACGAAAGCCAGGGGAGCGAACCGGAUUAGAUACCCGGGUAGUCCUGGCCGUAAACGAUGCAUACUAGGUGAUGGUACGGCCAUGAGCCGUAUCAGUGCCGUAGGGAAACCGUUAAGUGUGCCGCCUGGGAAGUACGGUCGCAAGGCUAAAACUUAAAGGAAUUGGCGGGGGAGCACCACAAGGGGUGAAGCCUGCGGUUCAAUUGGAUUCAACGCCGGGAAUCACUAGUGCGGCCG